CUCGUUGGUGACCAGCGGAGGGAUCAUUACCGAGUUUACAACUCCCAAACCCCUGUGAACAUACCACUUGUUGCCUCGGCGGAUCAGCCCGCUCCCGGUAAAACGGGACGGCCCGCCAGAGGACCCCUAAACUCUGUUUCUAUAUGUAACUUCUGAGUAAAACCAUAAAUAAAUCAAAACUUUCAACAACGGAUCUCUUGGUUCUGGCAUCGAUGAAGAACGCAGCAAAAUGCGAUAAGUAAUGUGAAUUGCAGAAUUCAGUGAAUCAUCGAAUCUUUGAACGCACAUUGCGCCCGCCAGUAUUCUGGCGGGCAUGCCUGUUCGAGCGUCAUUUCAACCCUCAAGCACAGCUUGGUGUUGGGACUCGCGUUAAUUCGCGUUCCUCAAAUUGAUUGGCGGUCACGUCGAGCUUCCAUAGCGUAGUAGUAAAACCCUCGUUACUGGUAAUCGUCGCGGCCACGCCGUUAAACCCCAACUUCUGAAUGUUGACCUCGGAUCAGGUAGGAAUACCCGCUGAACUUAAGCAUAUCAUAAA
rnacentral:rRNA from 1 species